UACGUAGGGUGCAAGCGUUGUCCGGAAUUAUUGGGCGUAAAGAGCUCGUAGGCGGUCUGUCGCGUCGGCUGUGAAAACCCGGGGCUCAACCCCCGGGCCUGCAGUCGAUACGGGCAGACUAGAGUGCGGUAGGGGAGACUGGAAUUCCUGGUGUAGCGGUGAAAUGCGCAGAUAUCAGGAGGAACACCGGUGGCGAAGGCGGGUCUCUGGGCCGUAACUGACGCUGAGGCGCGAAAGCGUGGGGGAGCAAACAGG
rnacentral:rRNA from 1 species